rnacentral:rRNA from 1 species
AGUGAACGCUGGCGGUAGGCCUAACACAUGCAAGUCGAACGGCAGCACAGUAAGAGCUUGCUCUUACGGGUGGCGAGUGGCGGACGGGUGAGGAAUACAUCGGAAUCUACUUUUUCGUGGGGGAUAACGUAGGGAAACUUACGCUAAUACCGCAUACGACCUACGGGUGAAAGCAGGGGAUCUUCGGACCUUGCGCGAUUGAAUGAGCCGAUGUCGGAUUAGCUAGUUGGCGGGGUAAAGGCCCACCAAGGCGACGAUCCGUAGCUGGUCUGAGAGGAUGAUCAGCCACACUGGAACUGAGACACGGUCCAGACUCCUACGGGAGGCAGCAGUGGGGAAUAUUGGACGAUGGGCGCAAGCCUGAUCCAGCCAUACCGCGUGGGUGAAGAAGGCCUUCGGGUUAAAGCCCUUUUGUUGGGAAAGAAAAGCAGCAGGUUAAUACCCCGCUGUUCUGACGGUACCCAAAGAAUAAGCACCGGCUAACUUCGUG